rnacentral:rRNA from 1 species
AUUGAACGCUGGCGGCAUGCCUUACACAUGCAAGUCGAACGGCAGCACGGGUGCUUGCACCUGGUGGCGAGUGGCGAACGGGUGAGUAAUACAUCGGAACGUACCUUAUCGUGGGGGAUAACGCAGCGAAAGCUGUGCUAAUACCGCAUACGCCCUGAGGGGGAAAGCGGGGGAUCGCAAGACCUCGCGCGAUUAGAGCGGCCGAUGCCUGAUUAGCUUGUUGGUGGGGUAAAAGCCCACCAAGGCGAUGAUCAGUAGCUGGUCUGAGAGGACGAUCAGCCCCACUGGGACUGAGACACGGCCCAGACUCCUACGGGAGGCAGCAGUGGGGAAUUUUGGACAAUGGGGGCAACCCUGAUCCAGCAAUGCCGCGUGAGUGAAGAAGGCCUUCGGGUUGUAAAGCUCUUUUGUCAGGGAAGAAACACCGGCUCUAACACAGUCCGGGAAUGACGGUACCUGAAGAAUAAGCACCGGCUAACUACGUGCCAGCCGCCGCAGUAA